rnacentral:rRNA from 1 species
GACGAACGCUGGCGGCGUGCUUAACACAUGCAAGUCGAACGGAAAGGCCCUGCUUUUGUGGGGUGCUCGAGUGGCGAACGGGUGAGUAACACGUGAGUAACCUGCCCUUGACUUUGGGAUAACUUCAGGAAACUGGGGCUAAUACCGGAUAGGAGCUCCUGCUGCAUGGUGGGGGUUGGAAAGUUUCGGCGGUUGGGGAUGGACUCGCGGCUUAUCAGCUUGUUGGUGGGGUAGUGGCUUACCAAGGCUUUGACGGGUAGCCGGCCUGAGAGGGUGACCGGCCACAUUGGGACUGAGAUACGGACCAGAAUCCUACGGGAGGCAGCAGUGGGGAAUAUUGCACAAUGGGCGGAAGCCUGAUGCAGAAACGCCGCGUGCGGGAUGACGGCCUUCGGGUUGUAAACAGCUUUCGCAUGUGACGAAGCGUGAGUGACGGUAAUGGGUAAAGAAGCACCGGCUAACUACGUG